CCACGCUGUAAACGCUGUCGAUUUGGGGAUUGGGCUUAGAGCUUGGUGCCCGUAGCUAACGUGAUAAAUCGACCGCCUGGGGAGUACGGCCGCAAGGUUAAAACUCAAAUGAAUUGACGGGGGCCCGCACAAGCGGUGGAGCAUGUGGUUUAAUUCGACGCAACGCGAAGAACCUUACCAGGGCUUGACAUGACAGUGACGGGUUAAGAGAUUAACCGUUCCCUUCGGGGACACUGCCACAGGUGGUGCAUGGUUGU
rnacentral:rRNA from 1 species